GACGAAGUGGGAGUGGCCGGUGAGGCGGCGGCGGGGAACGCCGUAGGAGGUGGAGGAUGCGUCAACGCCGGACUCCUUGGUGAGGUUCCAGACGAGGACAGAUUUGUCGCGGGAGGAGGAGACGAUCAUGUCGGAGUUGUCGAUGGGGGUAGCGAUGGCGGUGACCCAGUCGGAAUGGCCGCGCAUGGUACCGCGAUGGACGAGCAUCUCCGACAUUGCUGGUGGAGGAGAUCCGGCGGCGGCGAGCUGGCUAGG
rnacentral:misc_RNA from 1 species